rnacentral:rRNA from 1 species
GACUCAACACGGGGAAACUCACCAGGUCCAGAUGAAAUAAGGAUUGACAGAUUGAGAGCUCUUUCUUGAUUUUGUGGGUGGUGGUGCAUGGCCGUUCUUAGUUGGUGGAGUGAUUUGUCUGCUUAAUUGCGAUAACGAACGAGACCUUAACCUACUAACUAGCCCGUAUUGCUUUGGCAGUACGCUGGCUUCUUAGAGGGACUAUCGGCUCAAGCCGAUGGAAGUUUGAGGCAAUAACAGGUCUGUGAUGCCCUUAGAUGUUCUGGGCCGCACGUGCGCUACACUGACAGAGCCAACGAGUUCUCUCCCUUGACCGAAAGGUCUGGGUAAUCUUGUUAAACUCUGUCGUGCUGGGGAUAGAGCAUUGCAAUUAUUGCUCUUCAACGAGGAAUACCUAGUAAGCGCAAGUCAUCAGCUUGCGUUGAUUACGUCCCUGCCCUUUGUACACACCGCCCGUCGCUACUACCGAUUGAAUGGCUUAGUGAGGUCUUCGGAUUGGCGUUGGGGAGCCGGCAACGGCACCUCGUUGCUGAGAAGUUGAUCAAACUUGGUCAUUUAGAGGAAGUAAAAGUCGUAAUCAAGGUUU